GGAAGAGUAAAAGAAAAGUACACAAAAGGCAGAAAAGGCAAAGACCAAUUCACAGUUCCAACUGUUUUUUUUUUCAUUUUUGCAGCAAUUUAAUUAAUGAAGAAAAACAAUGAUUAGUUAUCAUUUAGAUGAAAUUUCCAGAACAACCAGUACUGUCUAUUUUUGCAGAACAAUCAGUAAUGAUUAGUUAUCAUUUUUCCAGAAAACAAAUACCAAUCUUCACACGGCAGGUGACAGUGGCAGCAGCAGCAGAAGACAGCGGCUGCAGCAGGUGGUAGCGGCGGCGGAGACUCGGCGACGAGCAGCAGCGGCAAAUCAGAUUCGUGAUUCCGUGAAGGAUGAGCAGCGGUGAGUCGGUGACGACUGACGAGCAGUGGCGACGACUAGAUUGCAGCGGUGGCGACGAGCAGCGACGACAAGAUUGCUGCAGCUGAAGCCUGAAGGUCACGAUUCACGAGUUCGGUUUUGUUCGGUUUUUGGAAGAACAGAAGAACUGAAGAAGUGUUAGAUACUUAAAUUUAGACUCUAG
rnacentral:lncRNA from 1 species